UACGUAGGGUGCGAGCGUUGCCCGGAUUUAUUGGGCGUAAAGGGCGCGUAGGCGGCCACGCACGUCCGUUGUGAAAUCGCUCAGCUCAACUGGGCGGGGUCAGCGGAUACGGUGUGGCUAGAGCAAGCUAGGGGGCAAUGGAAUUCCCGGUGUAGUGGUGGAAUGCGUAGAUAUCGGGAGGAACACCAGUGGCGAAGGCGGUUGCCUGGAGCUUUGCUGACGCUGAUGCGCGAAAGCGUGGGGAGCGAUCCGG
rnacentral:rRNA from 1 species